rnacentral:rRNA from 1 species
GACGAACCGUGCGAACGUUAUUCGGAAUCACUGGGCUUAAAGCGCGUGUAGGCGGCCCGGCACGUCUCUGGCUGAAAUCCCCCGGCUCAACCGGGGAAGUGGCCGGGAUACGACCGGGCUGGAGGGGGGUAGGGGGAGCCGGAACUUCCGGUGGAGCGGUGAAAUGCGUUGAGAUCGGAAGGAACGCCCGUGGCGAAAGCGGGCUCCUGGACCCCACCUGACGCUGAGACGCGAAAGCCAGGGGAGCGAACGGG